GAAGCAACGCGAAGAACCUUACCAGGUCUUGACAUCCUCUGACAACCCUAGAGAUAGGGCGUUCCCCUUCGGGGGACAGAGUGACAGGUGGUGCAUGGUUGUCGUCAGCUCGUGUCGUGAGAUGUUGGGUUAAGUCCCGCAACGAGCGCAACCCUUGAUCUUAGUUGCCAGCAUUCAGUUGGGCACUCUAAGGUGACUGCCGGUGACAAACCGGAGGAAGGUGGGGAUGACGUCAAAUCAUCAUGCCCCUUAUGACCUGGGCUACACACGUGCUACAAUGGAUGGUACAAAGGGCUGCAAAACCGCGAGGUUAAGCGAAUCCCAUAAAACCAUUCUCAGUUCGGAUUGCAGGCUGCAACUCGCCUGCAUGAAGCUGGAAUCGCUAGUAAUCGCGGAUCAGCAUGCCGCGGUGAAUACGUUCCCGGGCCUUGUACACACCACCCGUCACACCACGAGAGUUUGUAACACCCGAAGUCGGUGGGGUAACCGUAAGGAGCCAGCCGCCUAAGGUGGG
rnacentral:rRNA from 1 species